GGUUCGAUGGUGUAGUUGGUUAUCACUUCUGUCUAACAUCCGAACGACGACGGCGCAAUAACCGUUCUUCUACGGUGUACACAGGCGGUCCUCAGUUCGAACCUGGGUCGAAUCA